rnacentral:rRNA from 1 species
UUCCUACGGGGGGCAGCAGUGAGGAAUAUUGGUCAAUGGCCGCAGGGCUGAACCAGCCAAGUCGCGUGAAGGAUGACGGCCCUACGGGUUGUAAACUUCUUUUGUCAGGGAGCAAUUGAGUCCACGUGUGGUCUUAGCGAGAGUACCUGAAGAAAAAGCAUCGGCUAACUCCGUGCCAGCAGCCGCGGUAAUACGGAGGAUGCGAGCGUUAUCCGGAUUUAUUGGGUUUAAAGGGUGCGUAGGCGGAAUAUCAAGUCAGCGGUAAAA